UUACAAUUGAAUUAAAAUUAU
rnacentral:piRNA from 1 species